CGACGGCGCACGGGUGCGUAACACGUAUACAAUCUACCUUAACAGGGGGAUAGCCUUUCGAAAGAGAGAUUAAUACCCCGUAAUAAAUUGAACGGCAUCGUUUGAUUUGAAAGCUCCGGCGGUUUGAGAUGAGUAUGCGUCUGAUUAGCUAGUUGGUGAGGUAACGGCUCACCAAGGCGACGAUCAGUAGGGGACCUGAGAGGACUAACCCCCACACUGGUACUGAGACACGGACCAGACUCCUACGGGAGGCAGCAGUAAGGAAUAUUGGUCAAUGGAGGCAACUCUGAACCAGCCAUGCCGCGUGCAGGAUGACGGCCCUAUGGGUUGUAAACUGCUUUUAUACAAGAGAAAACCCUGGUACGUGUACCAAGUUGAUAGUAUUGUAAGAAUAAGCAUCGGCUAACUUCGUG
rnacentral:rRNA from 1 species